AUUUUCGAUCUUGACCUCUGUUAUCAAAAUCCCAAUUCAUUUUCUUAAAACUAUUACAACUACCUUAAAUUGAAAGUGGAAAUAUGUAUUUAUUUUUGAAGAAUUUGUGUUGCAUUUAUUAACCUUAGAAGUAAAUUGAGUUAAAUGAAAAUGCCUAUUCAUGAUGAUAUAUAAAUCAAGGUGCUUAUAAAGUGUGUAUUAAUUUCCAACAAUGGUGGUAUUGUUGAAAUCUGAGAGUAGUUUGGAUAAAUGUAGGUUUAUAAAGAGCGAGAGCCUUGUCUCUAUAGUAUCAAAGGUUUUUGUAUGGCCGUUGCAUGAGUUUGUAUCACUGUGGUACACUAUUGGUGGAGGCACAAGACUGGAUGUUGGAAGUGAUGUUCGUCCCACCAUGACGGUCCUGCCCCCCUCCAGUGUGGAGCUGCAGCAGGGGAAGGCCACUCUCAUGUGCCUGGCAAACAAGGGCUUCCCCUCAGACUGGAAGCUGAACUGGAAGGUGGAUGGGAGCAGUAGCAGCACCUGGGAGGUGACAGGGAGCCCUGGGGUCCUGGAGAAGGACGGCCACUACAGCUGGAGCAGCACCCUGACCCUCCCUGUCGACCAGUGGAGGAAGGUGGGCUCUGUGACCUGUGAGGCCACCCAGGGCUCCCAGACUCCACUCUCGGAGACACUGAGGAGAGACCAGUGUUCUGAUUAAUGAGCUCCUCCUCUGACUCCACUGUUUUUACUCUGUUCUGCACUCAGCGCCUCUCCGUCUUACUGAUCCAGCACUACUAGCACCACAGGAGGUUGUUGGAACCUUAAAUAGGGAGGAUGGACUCAUAGUUUUGGCUGAAAUGGAAUAGAUGGAAUGCUAUCGAACUCAUCAAACACAUUGUUUCCAUGUGAUCCAUACAUUUCCAUUCACUCCAUUCUAGACAUUAUUAUGAGCCGUCCUCCCCUCAGCAGCCUCCUGUGUCUAGCACACUUGUGUGGGAAUCCAUAUCUCUCUGAUUCUGAUGUCAUAGUUCUGCUUGGCUUUCAUAUCACAUGUGUGAUGCGCUUUAUUGCUGUAAUGCUGUUGGUUCUGACAUGUUGUGAAAAUAAAGACAUUCAAUCUUUAAAA